UACGGAGGGAGCUAGCGUUGUUCGGAAUUACUGGGCGUAAAGCGCACGUAGGCGGCUUUGUAAGUUAGAGGUGAAAGCCCGGGGCUCAACUCCGGAACUGCCCUUAAGACUGCAUCGCUUGAAUCCAGGAGAGGUGAGUGGAAUUCCGAGUGUAGAGGUGAAAUUCGUAGAUAUUCGGAAGAACACCAGCGGCGAAGGCGGCUCACUGGACUGGUAUUGACGCUGAGGUGCGAAAGCGUGGGGAGCAAACAGG
rnacentral:rRNA from 1 species